rnacentral:rRNA from 1 species
AUUGAACGCUGGCGGAAUGCUUUACACAUGCAAGUCGAACGGCAGCACGGACUUCGGUCUGGUGGCGAGUGGCGAACGGGUGAGUAAUGUAUCGGAACGUGCCCAGUCGUGGGGGAUAACGUAGUGAAAAUUACGCUAAUACCGCAUACGAUCUAUGGAUGAAAGCGGGGGAUCGCAAGACCUCGCGCGAUUGGAGCGGCCGAUAUCAGACUAGGUAGUUGGUGGGGUAAAGGCCCACCAAGCCAACGAUCUGUAGCUGGUCUGAGAGGACGACCAGCCACACUGGAACUGAGACACGGUCCAGACUCCUACGGGAGGCAGCAGUGGGGAAUUUUGGACAAUGGGCGAAAGCCUGAUCCAGCCAUUCCGCGUGCAGGAUGAAAGCCCUCGGGUUGUAAACUGCUUUUGUACAGAACGAAAAGGUUUCUACUAAUACUAGGAGCUCAUGACGGUACUGUAAAAAUAAGCACCGGCUAACUACGUGCCAGCCGCCGCUGUAA